rnacentral:misc_RNA from 1 species
GAUGAAGAACGUAGCGAAAUGCGAUAAGUAAUGUGAAUUGCAGAAUUCAGUGAAUCAUCGAAUCUUUGAACGCACAUUGCGCCCAUUAGUAUUCUAGUGGGCAUGCCUGUUCGAGCGUCAUUAAGUCCACUUAAGCCCUGCUUAGUGUUGGGAGACUGCUCCAGCGGUGCUACCCUGUAGCUACCCUGCAGCUCCUCAAAGACAGCGGCGGAGUUGUGGUAUCCUCUGAGCUUAGUAACUUGUUCUAGCUUUCGAGUACACCACUUCCCCUGCCGUAAAACCCUUAAUUUUUAAUGGUUGACCUCGGAUCAGGUAGGAAUACCCGCUGAACUUAAGCAUAUCAAUAAGCGGAUGA